AGACAACAAAGGUCAGAAUGCAGAGGCUUGGCAGCAUGAAACUUGAAAAGGCAGACGAAGCAGACCUUAGACGAGGGCACCUACUAUCUUUAAUCUGCUGGCUGAUAUGUGUCUGGUCCAGGUCUAGCUCCUGCUGGAUUCUACUCUGUCCUUCUUUGGCUUGCUGCUUCAGAGCCUCCACAUGGCACUGCUGUUGCUCAGCCUGGCCUCUUGUCGUUCCUGUGAACUCUACACUCUCAGAAAAACCAGAUCUUCAAUCUGUCUUCCCAAUGAAACCUUAUCCAAAACAAAUUCUCUUUCAUGGCUUCCCUACAAAAUAAGGGGUUCUUUCUGAGAAAACAAGAACUUCAGCCUCAGCUCCAAAUUCUUCUUGGCCUUGAUACUCUCCACCUGUGUCAGCUUUUCCAUCUCGCCCUUCAUGCCACUGGCCCCUAAAGAUCCACAAAUCCAUAAAUUGACCCUAGGAUCAGCCGUCCCUAAACCUUUGCUGCAGCAUUGUUCAUCGUGGGAGCAGCUCUGUGAAGAUGCUCUGCUGCUCACCCAGCUCCCAAUCCACAUCAUCUCCUCCCAUCAGUGUCAGAUGAGACUAUCUUCACCUGCCAUCAAAUGCUCCAGGCCAGAAGAAAGCGCUGGAUCCCUCCAAAGAGGCCAAGGGUCACAAGAACCUGCUUCAAAUUCUUGGAAGUGCUUGAUAGUCUUGCUAGUGAGCUCACUGGGGCUGAGUCCCCUGAUGACUUUCCUACAGUUAGACCUGACAUACAGGUUGGUUUGGCUAAAGGAACAAAGGAGCUUCCCAGGGCCAACCCACCAGGUAUCCAGUCAAGGAAAGGAUUCUGUAUAGAAAGGAUAAUGAUGAAGUAGAAAACCAGCUGCUGUCAACUGCAUAUCCAUUAACUCAAGACUUCAAAGUUGAUCACAAAGCAGGUGAAGCAGGAGGGUGAGCAGAAUCUCAAUAUGUUUCCUCACUGUUCCCAUAGGUCCUGAUCUCUCAUGUGCAGGGCUCUGCAUUGUUGGUUGGGAGAAUAAAAGAACUACAUUUUAAAGAGCCGGAGGAAGCCGUAUAAUCCGGAGGCUAACAGAUAUACAUACUAUGAGCGCACAUACAGGUGCACUGAGAACUUAAAGAACUCUGGGGAAGGAAGGGUCAGAAGCAGCACCAAAGAUGUCUGCCAACACUUCCCAGAUAAAGCUUGCCCACAGGGGAGGUGCAUGUCUUCUUUCAGUGAGAAGAGAGACAAGAUACCAAGCAGGAUGCAAAUGAGGGAAGGCCAUGGCUAUGUCCCUGUCAGCUACAAACUCAGCAGCCAGCUCCACAUUUUCAGAUUACUCAGUCUUUCAUUGCUGUAUCAAACACUUGAGAGAAACGACUUGAGAAAAGGAUUUAUCUUAGCCUACCAGUUCAGAAGUCCUAGUCUAUGGGAGACUACCCUGCAGUUUGGGCAUGAGCAAGGCUAGGGGCACAUGUGGUGGUACAAAGUGGCUCACCUCAUGGUAAUAGGAAGUGGAGAGGAGGACAGAGGGAAGUGGAAUAAGAUGCACCCCCCAAGAACACGCCUCCAGUGAUCUAUUUCCUUGGGCUCUAUCAUACCUCCUAAAGGUUCCAGAGCCUCAUAGGUUAUGCCACAAGAUGGAGAUUGGUCUUCAAGGCCCAAGCCUGUGUAGCACAUUUUAUUUUCAAGCCAAAACACUUGCCCAAGUCAAUCUGGAACUAAUCUGUCCAGACCUUAGUUGUUAUACAACCCUCUCCCAACUUCCAUUCUGUUCUGGACUAAGAAGCAAACGUAGGAGACACAAUUGCGACAAGCAGCAGAGUCUCACCUCUCCUUCCCGAGCAGAGGACAGAGACCCAGUCUUGAGGCACUGACAUCUCCAUCCAAGUCCAGCCAUUCCAAAGAGCCACUGCUGCUAUGAGCCUCUCCAACCUGAGACAUGGGAAAGAGCAGUGAUCCCAUCAGUGUACUGCAGGAGCCUCCCUAGCAGCCACUCAGAAAUCACGGCCAUGCCUACCUUGAGCCUUUGGUGCCGCAGCGCAGCGGCCUCGGCUGGGUGGUUAAAUCGGAACCUCUGUGCUUUCCCCAGGGUUAUGACAGCUCCUGUGACGCACAAACCCGAGUUCAGUUCACAACCAUGCCCUGAGACAAACUGUGAUACUAAGAGAGAAACUCAUGCCUCCAACAAGCUACGUUGAUAUAUAUUAAUUAUACAUCUCACAGUUAUAAUCAAAUAAACAUCAGGAAAAAUUCCAGGUAGUGUAGUCAGAGAAGUUUCAUGAAGAGGCGGGCUCUGAGUUCAGCUUUAGAGAGUGGGAUUUAAGUAGAUUAGUACUAGAGGCACACCAACACAAAGUCUUUACAGCAAACUACCAAGAACUGCAAAAAAAGACAGACUUCAUUGAAUCCUGCCCUAUGUUCCCAUUAUCACAGAUGAGGGAACUGAGGUUCAGAUAAACAAGCACAAAUUUCCAUGAGUCCUUCUCUACUCUUGGGUCCUAGAAUGAGGAGGAUUAUGUUAGAAAGUCUUCAGGUCUCUGGGUAAAGAGGCUGAGUAACACAGGACUCUUGCUUCACUCUGGGCCUAUCAGAUUGAAGAUGGCCAUCACUCAUGCAGACAUUCCCUGGGAGGUAGACAGCCUUACCUUGUGUCAGACGGCAGGAAGCAGUGACCUCACGGCCAUUGACUAUACAGCGUGCCCCUCGGGUAGGCCGGAGAAUGACCACCCCACAAGUGCUGGUGAUCGUGCAGUGGUUUCUCUCUAUCCACUGGCCCUGAAGGACUGAGGGGGCGGAGGUGACUUGAGUUAAGAAAUCAUUCAGGAGAAUGCCUCUUCCGAUUUUUACAAGUUCCAACCCAACACCUAGAAUAUUUCCCAGCCCAAUAACAACAACAACAACAAAAAACUCCUACCACCUGAAACCAACCACCAUAUAGUCUCUUAGUCUCUCCCAUAUAAGCCACCUCCUUCCAAGUUCCAACUCAAAAGCUAGCAGCAGAAAGAGAAGCAGACCCAUAACCCUUCAGAGACUCCUUUCCACUUCCUUUAUUCAGCUUCCUUUAUUCAGGCACAAAUGGCUGCCUGUGUGUCACCUACCGAUAUCCUGCUCCUGGUCAGAAUCAAUCCUUCCUAUUUUUGUUGUCCCCUCCUAUGGGGAGGAAAGAAAGAAGCCGUUUUAAUAAGAAUAAAGAGAGACACAGCCCUGCCCUCAAAGCAUAUCAGAUGUGCCUUCCAUGCCUAACUCAGCGUUCUCAGAACCAUUUCCCGACCUCACUAGGCUGCUGACCUUCCAUCCACUCGCUCUGCAGUCCAGGGGGACACUAGCAGUAGUACACACCACUGCCUAUUUGCAAAGCCCAACAAAUGCUGACAACCUCCUUUCUGCCCUGUGGCCUGAGGUCAAGGCCUAGCUGCUGGUUAGAAAGUUGACAGUAAAAGCAAGGGGGCACACAUCUACUGCAUAUACUUCAUUCUCAGAGCAACUAAGGCUAGUGUGGCCCACAUUUGAUCCAGGAGACUCAAAAACUUUUCCUAAAGAUUUAUGGAUUGUUACCUUCUUGCUCCACAGAGGAAGCAUAACAGAUGCCAAAUUCUAUGAAGGGUUAACACAAACAGGGGGAAGGCGUCUCUAGAAGCGAAAGGAACUGGAAGAGAGUAGAAGAGAGCACAGCAACUGGUGUUAACACAAGCAAAGCACUGAAUUAGUCCAACCGAGGCUCUGGGCCCUCGGUUAUGACAAACCCACUGCAGACCACACAGCUGUUAGAAGGUAGCAACAUGGCGACAAGGAUGCUGACUUGAGGGAUACUGGAAAGUUUUACAAGGUCCACUGAACACACCUACCUUCAAAUCACUCUGGGAGACUAGGUCCUGCAGGCUCUCAUCCAGAUCAUCAUUUGGUAGAUCCCAAUGCAUUGCACCUAAGAAGGAUAAAGUAUAGACAAAGCAAAGACUUCACCACUGACGGAAGAAAGAAGUCAGAGGCAUUUGGUAUUUGGGCUCAUAUGAGUACAAAGGAGGAGAAAUGAAAUAAAUCUUUCUCUAGGACCCAA